ACCCUAAUCUAAGAUAACUUGUGCCACAAUCCUUCUAGUCGCUCUCCUAUUUUGAAUUUCCAAUAGACUAGUUCUCGAAAUCUGUAAAACAACAAGAGAUGGUAUAAUGAGCUAGACAGCCUAGUAAGUAAUGAACACUCUAGCUAGAUAAAUCAAGCAAUAAUAUGUGGAAAAUAAAUAAAUAUGCAGUUCCAAAGUAUAAGUCAAAUAUUUCUUAAAUUUAUAAGAUUUUUUUCGCGAUUUCAAGAUUCUUUCACAUAUUCAACUCAUCUUGUCGAUCCUGGACUAUGACCACAUGUUUCCUGUGGCAGGGUCAUCAACACCGACUAAUCUUCUUGCGGUGAGUCCUUCAGGACAGUCAAUUGCCAACGUAUCUGCCCCCAUUGGCAGGGUCCUCAACAUAGCCAGGUCGAAGUUCAGUUUGUUCUCUAUUUCAUAUUUCAGUUAUAUAAAAAAAACAUACAGUGUCAAAACCAAAUGUCGUUCAUAUCUUAAUUUCUUUUAAUUUAUCAGAUUCAACUCAACAGCCAGGAACUAUGACCACAUGUUCCCUAUGGUAGGAUCAUAUCUCCGACUAUUCUUCUUGCGGUACCAAUGUAUUAGCCCCCAUUGGCAGGGUCCUCAACAUAGCCCGACUGCAAGUCUGAAUCUAUUUCAAGUCAUGAUCUUUU
rnacentral:lncRNA from 1 species